GGCCUGGUGGUGUAGUGGUAACAUACUCGACCAUGUGCGGAGUAUGCGUGAAUUCACAGAGAGAUCCUUGUUCGAUUCAAGGCCAGGCCA